rnacentral:lncRNA from 1 species
UGAUUUUCCAUUUUCUUUUGUGAGUAGAGGACAUUUCAGAUUUAGCAGUGGCGUUUGGGAAUGGAGUUUGGAUCUUAAGUUAUGGAUAUUGGGGAUCUGGUUGUGGUGUGUUUGGUUGGAGUGAUUUUGGGCUUGGCUCCUACUCCGCCAUCUUCAUUCUUCGUCAUAUCUCCACCCUUGCCAUCUUCUGACCCCUCCUUCUUGCGGCCCACCCAAAACCCUAGCUUUACAAAGACUGCAAGCUACAAACCCACCACAAAAAUGAUUCAUCUUACCACCUGCUAAUGAUUCAUCUUACCUUCAGCUUCGCAGUC